rnacentral:rRNA from 1 species
GACGAACGCUGGCGGCGUGCCUAAUACAUGCAAGUCGAGCGAAGUUUUUCUGGUGCUUGCACCGGAAAAACUUAGCGGCGAACGGGUGAGUAACACGUAAAGAACCUGCCUCAUAGACUGGGACAACUAUUGGAAACGAUAGCUAAUACCGGAUAACAGCAUUAACUGCAUGGUUGAUGUUUAAAAGUUGGUUUUGCUAACACUAUGAGAUGGCUUUGCGGUGCAUUAGCUAGUUGGUGGGGUAAAGGCCUACCAAGGCGACGAUGCAUAGCCGACCUGAGAGGGUGAUCAGCCACACUGGGACUGAGACACGGCCCAGACUCCUACGGGAGGCAGCAGUAGGGAAUCUUCCGCAAUGGGCGAAAGCCUGACGGAGCAACGCCGCGUGAGUGAAGAAGGAUUUCGGUUCGUAAAGCUCUGUUGUUAGGGAAGAAUGAUUGUGUAGUAACUAUACACAGUAGAGACG